rnacentral:rRNA from 1 species
CGUCUAUAUACGUAUAGCAUAUCAAUAAGCGGAGGAAAAGAAGCUAACAAGGAUUCCCUUAGUAACGGCGAGUGAAGCGGGAAGAGCUCAAAUUUGAAAUCUUCAAGGUUCUACCUUGACGAAUUGUAGUUUAAAGAAGUGUUUUCUGUUAGAGGAGUAGCAAAAGUUCUUUGGAAUAGGACAUCAUAGAGGGUGAGAAUCCCGUAUUUGGUUAUUCUUUCUAGCUUUGUGAUACACUUUCAAAGAGUCGGAUUGUUUGGGAAUGCAGUCCGAAAUGGGUGGUAAAUUUCAUCUAAAGCUAAAUAUUGGCGAGAGACCGAUAGCGAACAAGUACCGUGAGGGAAAGAUGAAAAGAACUUUGAAAAGAGAGUUAAACAGUACGUGAAAUUGUCAAAAGGGAAGCGUUUGACACCAGUGUUGUUUUUCCGAAAAUCAAUUAAGAGUGGCUUGAUUUUGUGUUGUAUUGACCUUAUCAGCUUUCUUCACUCUUUUUCGAGUCUUUCUUAAUGCACUUUUCGGUUAACAAGUCAACAUCAAUUUCUUUUGUUGUAAAAGGGUAUUUGGAAGGUGGCUUUCUUUUCGGAGAAAGUGUUUAUAGCCUUAUACCUCUACAAUCGGAGAGAUUGAGGUCUGCAGCGUAGAUCCUUCGGGGCUAGAUACACUUGUGCUAAGUUAUAGCUUUUCAUAGACAACUUGUUGACUAUGUUUAGUCAUGUAGCUUACCCGCUUGUGCUAUUUUACCUACGCUUAGGAUGUUGAGUCAUCACACAUCUCU